CUGUUUAAUUUUCUUAUGUCUUGUAUUUUGUUCCUUUAAAUGUACUUUUGAACUAUGACCUUCUUUGGACCCCUAUGUUAUGUACUUGAAUGAGUGACGUUUAAAAAUUACUUCAUUAUUGCUAUUCCAAGUAUUUCUUGUUUCUUCGAAUUACUAACCACUAAUGAAACUCGAAUGAUUCCCUGAAAAUAAAAUAUGCAUAACAUCCGCAUUUUCAUUAUGCAUCACGCUUCAUGAAAAAAAAAAAAAAAACUUACCCAACCUUUUUACCC
rnacentral:lncRNA from 1 species